UGAUACAACACUUCCUCCAUAACCUCGCCAACUUUUUAGCGCAACGGCGUGCUGCGUGUGAUGUCAUUGUUAUUGUUCGUUUGCGCAUGCGGGUCAGUUCGAAACAGCAAACAGUUCACACUGGUAUCUGAUAUAGGCCACAUUUUAAAAGGUUGGGGACCACUGGUGUACUGUAGAUGACAGUAUGAAGCGGAGCUAUCCAUCUGGCCAUGAAAAGAAAAAAGGAAACAAAAUGAGAGUGAAAUACGAGAAAAUCAAUCAGAACACUUUGACCUUGGCUGAAUUUUCAGUGUUGUACUGCUCCUCCAGCUGAUUGAGUGACAUCUCCACUUCACUGAUCUUCUCCUCUGUUCCUCCUUCAGCCCGCCGCACAAGCUGGUCCACAUGUUUCAGUCGCCUCUCCAACUGUUACACACACAAAA